UACGUAGGCAGCAAGCGUUGUUCGGAGUUACUGGGCGUAAAGGGUGUGUAGGCGGUUCUUUAAGUUUGGUGUGAAAUCUCCCGGCUCAACUGGGAGGGUGCGCCGAAUACUGAGGGACUAGAGUACGGGAGAGGAAAGUGGAAUUCCUGGUGUAGCGGUGAAAUGCGUAGAUAUCAGGAGGAACACCGGUGGUGUAGACGGCUUUCUGGACCGUAACUGACGACUGAGACACGAAAGACGUGGGUAGCAAACAGG
rnacentral:rRNA from 1 species